rnacentral:rRNA from 1 species
GAUGAACGCUGACAGAAUGCUUAACACAUGCAAGUCGAUUCGAUUUACCUUCGGGUAUUGAGGAUGGCGGACGGGUGAGUAACGCGUAAGGAACUUGCCUCUUGGUCUGGGACAACUGUUGGAAACGACAGCUAAUACCGGAUAUUAUGAGAUUCUCGCAUGAGAAACUUAUGAAAGCUAUAUGCGCCAAGAGAGAGCCUUGCGUUCCAUUAGCUAGUUGGUGGGGUAACGGCCCACCAAGGCGACGAUGGAUAGCCGGCCUGAGAGGGUGAACGGCCACAAGGGGACUGAGACACGGCCCUUACUCCUACGGGAGGCAGCAGUGGGGAAUAUUGGACAAUGGGCCACAAGCCUGAUCCAGCAAUUCUGUGUGCACGAUGAAGGUCUUCGGAUUGUAAAGUGCUUUCAGUUGGGAAGAAGAAAGUGACGGUACCAACAGAAGAAGCGACGGCUAAAUACGUGCCAGCAGCCGCGGUAAUACGUAUGUCGCAAGCGUUAUCCGGAUUUAUUGNGCGUAAAGCGCGUCUAGGCGGAAAAAUAAGUCUGAUGUUAAAAUGCGGGGCUCAACUCCGUAUUGCGUUGGAAACUGUUUUUCUAGAGUACUGGAGAGGUGGGCGGAACUACAANUGUAGAGGUGAAAUUC